UUUUUUCAUUUUCUCAAUUUUAUCUUCUUCUUUCAUUUUUCCUCUUCUCUUCUUUCAUUUUUCCUCUUCUCUCUCUUCUUUCAUUUUUCAUUUUCAUCCCCUCUCUUCGCCUCUCUUCCCCUCUUCGCAAAUCGAAAACGAAAUCGAGGCUCCUAAAUCAAUAAUCUAAUCCAUGGAUUGUUGAAAGCCUUCGAAUUCGACAAUCGUUAAUAAAUAUUCAAUUUCUGUGGUUUACAAUUGAUUGAAUUUAAAUCCAUGAAUUGUUUCUAAUUUUGUUCGAGAUUUAUUGCAGGGGAACUCAGUUGAUUAAGAAUGGUGAGUCUCGAAGCUUCGUUCGAGAUAACGAAGCAUGGUGGAAGCGAGUCAACUCAGUUGUUUACUCGAAGCAUGGAAGCGAGUCAACUCAGUUGUUGACUGAGUUGACCAGGUGAGUCUCAUGUGAUCCAAACCAUGAGCCCAGGUGCAAAUCUAUGGUUUACAAUUUUUCAUUCGAAUUCGAAUUCGAAUUCAUUUUCUGUGGUUUACAAUUGAUU
rnacentral:lncRNA from 1 species